rnacentral:rRNA from 1 species
GACAGAGGGGGCAAGCGUUGCUCGGAAUUACUGGGCGUAAAGGGCGCGUAGGCGGGAUGGCAAGUCGGUCGUGAAAUCCCUCGGCUCAACUGAGGAUCGUCGAUCGAUACUGCCGUUCUUGAGGAUUGCAGAGGAGACUGGAAUUCCCGGUGUAGCGGUGAAAUGUGUAGAGAUCGGGAGGAACACCGGUGGCGAAGGCGACAUCCUGGACCGGUAUUGACGCUGAGGCGCGAAAGCCAGGGGAGCAAACGGG